GUGAAAUUGUGUCAUUAUUUUCAUGCUGACAUCAAUAAUGGAUGUCUAUGCCUCAUAGUUCUCGGUUUCGACCUUGUUCUUUAGUGGAAGCACAAGCACAAUCAACAAGAAUUCUUUGAUGUUAAAGACCAGCAUAAAGAAGAGUUUUAGCCUCAUCUCAUCAAUUUCACUUAGCUAAUUACUUCUUAGAGGACAUGGAUGAUGCUCAUUCUACUCUCAAUUUCAUUGAGGAAGGGAAUCAAAUAAGAACCAAGAAGAGCUUUUGAAUAUUCUGAAAGAUAGGCUUGCCUUUUUUUUGGUGCCUAUAAGACACUAAUCAAUCCAGCAUUGCUUGUUCAAAACUAUUGAGCAU